rnacentral:ncRNA from 1 species
UUUUCAAAAAUUUAAAGUUUAAUUUUGGCUUAUAAAUUGGCUAAAAAAUUUUUAUAUAUGUGGGUUUUGAAUUAGAGAGGUGUAAUUAUGCAGUAUAUAAUUUUAAAUAUUAAUUAAUAUUAGAUUUAGGAAUUUUAUUUAGUGCAAACCAAAUUUGUGCCAGCAGUAGCGGUUAUACAAAUUGUACUAGUUAAUUUUAUUUAGUGGAAUUAUGAAGUGUUUAUUAGAAUGUGUUUAGGUUUAUUAGGUGAAAUUUUAAACUUAAAUUUAUUUAUUUUUAAUUUUGAUGUUCGAAAAUUCUUUUUUAGACUAGGAUUAGAUACCCUAUUAUUUGGAAUGUAAUUUUAAAACUAGGAUUACUGUAAGUAGGUUCUUUAAAAUUAAAAAUUUUGGCGGUAUUUUAGUCUUUUCAGAGGAACCUGUUUCUUAAUCGAUAAUCCACGAUUAAUCGUACUUUAGUUUUUAAUUUAUAUAUCGUUGUUUAAAAAAUUUUAAAAGAGUUAAUUUUUGGGGUUUUUUAUUAGAUUUUAUUUCAGAUCAAGGUGUAGUUUAUAUUGGAGUGGGAAUGGGUUACAUUUGAUUUAUCAUUUGUUUUUGGCCUUGGAAAGGUUAGAUAAAUUGGAUUUGAAAGUAAUUAUUAAAUAUAUAUAUAUUGAUUAAGCUCUAAAAUAUGUACAUAUCGCCCGUCGCUUUCAUUAUAAGGUGAAAUAAGUCGUAACAAAGUAGACUUAUUGGAAAAUGAGUCUAGAAUGA